CUGAAUGGGGAAACCCACGUGCAUAAGCACGUAUCAUUAACUGAAUACAUAGGUUAAUGAGGCGAACCGGGGGAACUGAAACAUCUAAGUACCCCGAGGAAAAGAAAUCAACCGAGAUUCCGAAAGUAGCGGCGAGCGAAAUUGGACUAGCCCUUAAGCUUUAUAUGCGUUAGACGAACAGCCUGGAAAGGCCGGCGAUACAGGGUGAUAGCCCCGUAGCCGACAACGAACAUUCAGUGAAAUCGAGUAGGGCGGGACACGUGAUAUCCUGUCUGAAUAUGGGGGGACCAUCCUCCAAGGCUAAAUACUACUGACUGACCGA
rnacentral:rRNA from 1 species